CAGUAGGAAGCCGGGAGAAGGGAGCUGAGCUGGGCAGGGCCUGCGGGAAGGCGGGAGAUGGGAGCUGAGUGGCCAGGCGAGCGGUGAGGAGAAGGGGGCUGGGCACGGCCUGAGGGCACAAGGGAGCUGAGUGGGAGGGAGAAGGGGGCUGGGUAGGACCUGA